UACGUAGGGUGCAAACGUUGUUCGGAAUUACUGGGCGUAAAGCGCGUGUAGGCUGCUCGGAAAGUCGGAUGUGAAAGCCCUGGGCUUAACCCAGGAAGUGCAUUCGAAACUCCCGAGCUCGAGUCCUGGAGAGGAAGGCGGAAUUCUCGGUGUAGAGGUGAAAUUCGUAGAUAUCGAGAGGAACAUCGGUGGCGAAGGCGGCCUUCUGGACAGUGACUGACGCUGAGACGCGAAAGCGUGGGGAGCAAACAGG
rnacentral:rRNA from 1 species